rnacentral:lncRNA from 1 species
GCAUCCUUUUGUCCCAUGCCAACCAUGACACCUGUAUGUCUUGGUCUACCAACAAUACUUGGAAAAACUGCCCUUGGUGCAUCAUCACCAGCAAAUCCAGCCUGUGGAUUUGAUUAAUAAAUCAGAUUAAUUGGAAAUGAAGAUGAAAAGGGAAAGGGAAAAGGGUGAUUAAAUUAGAAAGGAAAAAAGGUAAAAAAGUAGAAAAUGAUACUAACCUUCACCAUUCCAGUUCCAUUGUCGCAAACAAGGGGCUGAAUAUCCUCGGUAUCGGCCAUUUUCUAUAAGACUGCAAGCAAACAGGUUAUUAGAUCAUGUAAGGAUUCAUUGUUCAUACAACUAAUAUACAAACAUGAAGUAAAAGAUAAAGAAUUAUUCUCAAUUGCGCACAGAAGAGAUCUAUCCAAGUGGACUUUGGCUCAAUUGUACCAAAUCUGGAAAACAGUUACGGUUUUGAGAUCUGAGUCAAAACGCUACUCAAAACCCAACAAUUAAUGGUAAAAACGACAUGAAACUACACCAACCAAACACAUCCGAGUAACUAAAUACGAAACGAAUCACAAACGGAUUUUCACAGUUCUAAGCACACGAUUCAAGCAAAUCGCGGAUACUAGCACAGAUCGCAGUAAUCGGAAUGAAUUAACCUACAGAUCUGGUAACUUCAGAUUACAAAGGCUACAUGCUUUUCGUCAAACAUGAACCAAAGAUAACAGAUCUAUAGAAAUCGGAAUCAGAUCAAGCAACCGGAACAUCUAGUCAGAUAGAGCGAGAAGUAACAAGUAAAAACAAUGAAUUUUCUGUAAUCUGAAAUGAUUACAACUAGAAUAACUCCAAUUAAUCAAAAAAAGAAAAGGAAUUCACGAGAUUUAGAUUUCAACUGCUAGAAACCUACCAAAAACAAGAGUCAAAGUAAAGUAAACGGGGUUUGAAGAAUUACCAGAAUGAAAAACAGAUCGAAGAUAAAGACGAGGGAGAUCGAACGAAGCAGAAGCCGAUCUGGAGAAGAAGGACGCCGGGGAAGUUGAACCCUAGCCCUCAGCUCUCGUUUGCUCCUGCUUUGAAUUUUUGGAAAUGGGAAAGAAAGGGGAGGUAGGGGAGAGAGUAUAUGGAGAAAGAGGGGGAAUCAUUC